AGAGUUUGAUCCUGGCUCAGAACGAACGCUGGCGGCGCGCCUAAUACAUGCAAGUCGAGCGAGAAGGUGUAGCAAUACACUUGUAAAGCGGCGAACGGGUGAGGAAUGCAUGGGUAACCUACCCUCGAGUGGGGAAUAACUAGCCGAAAGGUUAGCUAAUACCGCAUACGUUUCCGGGACUUCGGUUCCGGAAAGAAAGCAAUACCGUGGGUAUUGCGCUCAUGGAUGGGCUCAUGUCCUAUCAGCUUGUUGGUGAGGUAACGGCUCACCAAGGCUUCGACGGGUAGCUGGUCUGAGAGGACGAUCAGCCACACUGGCACUGCGACACGGGCCAGACUCCUACGGGAGGCAGCAGUAAGGAAUAUUGCGCAAUGGACGAAAGUCUGACGCAGCGACGCCGCGUGGGGGAUGAAGGUCUUCGGAUUGUAAACCCCUUUCGGGAGGGAAGAUGGAGUGGGUAACCACUUGGACGGUACCUCCAGAAGCAGCCACGGCUAACUUCGUGCCAGCAGCCGCGGUAAUACGAAGGUGGCAAGCGUUGUUCGGAUUCACUGGGCGUACAGGGAGCGUAGGCGGUUGGGUAAGCCCUCCGUGAAAUCUCCGGGCCUAACCCAGAAAGUGCAGAGGGGACUGCUCAGCUAGAGGAUGGGAGAGGAGCGCGGAAUUCCCGGUGUAGCGGUGAAAUGCGUAGAGAUCGGGAGGAAGGCCGGUGGCGAAGGCGGCGCUCUGGAACAUUUCUGACGCUGAGGCUCGAAAGCGUGGGGAGCAAACAGGAUUAGAUACCCUGGUAGUCCAA
rnacentral:rRNA from 1 species